rnacentral:rRNA from 1 species
UACAUGCAAGUCGAGCGAACUGAUUAGAAGCUUGCUUCUAUGACGUUAGCGGCGGACGGGUGAGUAACACGUGGGCAACCUGCCUGUAAGACUGGGAUAACUUCGGGAAACCGAAGCUAAUACCGGAUAGGAUCUUCUCCUUCAUGGGAGAUGAUUGAAAGAUGGUUUCGGCUAUCACUUACAGAUGGGCCCGCGGUGCAUUAGCUAGUUGGUGAGGUAACGGCUCACCAAGGCAACGAUGCAUAGCCGACCUGAGAGGGUGAUCGGCCACACUGGGACUGAGACACGGCCCAGACUCCUACGGGAGGCAGCAGUAGGGAAUCUUCCGCAAUGGACGAAAGUCUGACGGAGCAACGCCGCGUGAGUGAUGAAGGCUUUCGGGUCGUAAAACUCUGUUGUUAGGGAAGAACAAGUACAAGAGUAACUGCUCGUACCUUGACGGUACCUAACCAGAAAGCCACGGCUAACUACGUGCCAGCAGCCGCGGUAAUACGUAGGUGGCAAGCGUUAUCCGGAAUUAUUGGGCGUAAAGCGCGCGCAGGCGGUUUCUUAAGUCUGAUGUGAAAGCCCACGGCUCAACCGUGGAGGGUCAUUGGAAACUGGGGAACUUGAGUGCAGAAGAGAAAAGCGGAAUUCCACGUGUAGCGGUGAAAUGCGUAGAGAUGUGGAGGAACACCAGUGGCGAAGGCGGCUUUUUGGUCUGUAACUGACGCUGAGGCGCGAAAGCGUGGGGAGCAAACAGGAUUAGAUACCCUGGUAGUCCACGCCGUAAACGAUGAGUGCUAAGUGUUAGAGGGUUUCCGCCCUUUAGUGCUGCAGCUAACGCAUAAGCACUCCGCCUGGGGAGUACGGUCGCAAGACUGAAACUCAAUGGAUUGACGGGGGCCCGCACAAGCCGUGGGAGCAUGUGGUUUAAAUUCCAAAGCAACGCGAAAAACUUACCGGGUCUUGACAUCCUC